UCUUGCCUGGACGGGUUUCGGCUUCGGCGCGUCCCGCAUCAGUCUGUUGUUGGCCGCGAACCCGAGCGCACACCAGGCGCCUGCCCCUGCCCGCCCCAGCCCAGCUGACAAGGCCCGUAGCUCACUCGGCCCCUCGGCGUAGAGAUUCGGCUUGUCUUCACCUCGGCGAUCUUUUCGGCGCGUCACCGGGAAGCGGUUGACGAAAUCGAAAUCAGCUUCCCACGUCCACUGACGUAGGCACGUCGCCGUCGUUCUGCUGGGCUCCGCGCAACGGGAGGAACUCCCUGUGCCUUCGAACGCCACCGCGUCCACCCCUACCACCCCGUGCACCCCGUCCCCGCCGACGCAGAGCUACCCGUCAUGGAGCUGGCACGCAUGCUGGUCCUGUACUACCUGAGGAUGCUCGACGCCCUCUCCGUGGAGCCCCAGACCUGCUCCCCGCGGCGGUACAGGCUGGCCACGGGAACGCCCCCGCUGAGCGCGCUGAGCACCGCCAGCGCCCCCGCCGAGUGCCCGUGCGCGGAACACUGAGGCCCCCGACGACGCCCCCGCCGCCGCCGCGCAGCACCGGAGCAGUCGCCGCGACACCAUCCAGUCCAUCAUUCAGUCCACCAUCGAGUCCAUCAUCGAGUCCACCAUCGAGUCCAUCAUCCAGUCCACCAUCGACUCCACCAUCAAGUCCAUCAUCGUCACGCUCUUCAUGCCCUAUGGCCCCAGCAGCCGGUCGGUCCACGCUUCACCGCCGACCGGUUGCCGACGGCCAGACAAAAUGCCAUUCCAUGUUUCGAACGACAUAAAAAAAAAAAUCAGGAGGCGAAGAAGAAAUCGGCGUGCACAGCUUCCUUCGCCAGGAGCCGCCAGUGUGAAUCAUGACGGCACUGAGACGGCCACUCCACCGACGGCCAGCUGACCCGUCCGCGAGUCGCGGAGUCCGAGGGGCGGUUUGGCCAGGCUUGGCCAGGCAUAGGACUCUAGGCCAGGCUUGACCACGCUCGGCACGCCCCGGCGGAAAAGUUUCCACGUCGAACGCUCCGCACCACUCGCGAGGCCGGAGACAGCGACGCACUUCGCUCACAAACAUUGUCCCGACGACCGCUCCGCUGACAUCAUGACGUAUUUUAAGUUAAUUUAUUUUGAUCCCUGUAAGGCAUCGUGGCCUUUCCCCUGAUAUGGAAAGUCCCGCAUGCGUAUGUAAUUAUAAUUUUAAGCUGAGGAGUCCCUUGCCACUGUAGUCGCGCACGGGGAUUCCUUUAUUUUUAUUGAGACUGAAAGGUUCUCUGCAGUGAAAUAACAAGAAGGGGUAGUUUUAGGGUUGGAGAGGGUGUAGAGUUUCUUUCUGAUAAGUGAUCUCUUAAUUUUAUCGCCCUUUGACACGAGUCUUGCAGAUAAGAGUCGAACGAUUCUCAAGAAAAGAGUACUAACUCGGCCAUCAACAAAUCGUUUAUGAAAAUUAAAAUUUAAAAAAAGAUUGAACGUUGUGACGAAACUGGAUUUACUCCUGCUGAGAGUUUCCACAGUUUCUCGCUCAUUGUUUUGCUUCCGAAAUGUAGGUUCCCCAUGCUCACAAAUUGCUGUACAGAGUCUUGGGGUGAUUUUCAGAGAGGCGAGAAAAUUGCUGCGUUCCUAUACGUGAUAAGUUUUGUGUAUCCCACUGAAGAUAAAUUUGCUACCAAUACUUUAUUUAUAGUGAGAUAAAAUAAAAGUAUCGUAAGAAAUAAUCA